rnacentral:rRNA from 1 species
UACGUAGGGGGCAAGCGUUGUCCGGAAUUAUUGGGCGUAAAGAGCGCGUAGGCGGUCCGGUAAGUCGGUUGUGAAAGUCGGGGGCUCAACCCUCGGAUGCCGAUCGAUACUGUCGGGCUAGAGUCCGGAAGAGGCGAGUGGAAUUCCUGGUGUAGCGGUGAAAUGCGCAGAUAUCAGGAGGAACACCAAUGGCGAAGGCAGCACUCUGGGACGGUACUGACGCUGAGACGCGAAAGCGUGGGGAGCGAACAGG